AUAUUUUUAUAGCUCAUAAGCAUGGUGAUUGGGUGUUCAUGCCCUUCUGUGAGAUGUGCCUCCUUCAAACCUUGUUACGGCAUUGGCACAUUACCCGUCCAAUG